rnacentral:rRNA from 1 species
UACGAAGGGGGCUAGCGUUGCUCGGAAUCACUGGGCGUAAAGCGCACGUAGGCGGCUUUCUAAGUCAGGGGUGAAAUCCUGGAGCUCAACUCCAGAACUGCCUUUGAUACUGGAGAGCUAGAGUCCGGAAGAGGUGAGUGGAACUGCGAGUGUAGAGGUGAAAUUCGUAGAUAUUCGCAAGAACACCAGUGGCGAAGGCGGACUCACUGGUCCGGUACUGACGCUGAGGUGCGAAAGCGUGGGGAGCAAGCAGG